rnacentral:rRNA from 1 species
GUGGGGAAUCUUGCGCAAUGGGCGAAAGCCUGACGCAGCCAUGCCGCGUGAAUGAUGAAGGUCUUAGGAUUGUAAAAUUCUUUCACCGGGGACGAUAAUGACGGUACCCGGAGAAGAAGCCCCGGCUAACUUCGUGCCAGCAGCCGCGGUAAUACGAAGGGGGCUAGCGUUGCUCGGAAUUACUGGGCGUAAAGGGCGCGUAGGCGGACAGUUAAGUUGGGGGUGAAAGCCCGGGGCUCAACCUCGGAACUGCCUUCAAUACUGGCUGUCUUGAGUAUGAGAGAGGUGUGUGGAACUCCGAGUGUAGAGGUGAAAUUCGUAGAUAUUCGGAAGAACACCAGUGGCGAAGGCGACACACUGGCUCAUUACUGACGCUGAGGCGCGAAAGCGUGGGGAGCAAACAGGAUUAGAUACCCGUGUAGUCC